UGUCAACAAACCACAUAUGCCAAACAAGGAAGCAAAACCAACUGAAGGGGUCUCAGCUUUCCAGUGUGCAAAAGUUGAAGGUUAACAGGGGAAGAAAGCUUACAGGAACUUCAUUAACAAGGGAUUAAACAGUUUACUGGACACAAGGUACUUGCAACCUCAAAUAAAGCAGCGCAGAAACACAGCACAGGAAGAGCUGGCAGGCAGCUGAGUUUUCUCUGAAAAGAUACCUGGACCAGAAAGUGUUGGUUCUACCCUAUCUGCCAGAUACUCACCUAAAUCCAGUUAGGGUAGCAGCAUACAGAAUAAAUAGAACCUGAGGAAGAUGAAUAAAUUAUGUUUUCUCAGUAUAUUGUAAUUCACCUUUAUAAUGAGAAAUUUUUGUGACUCACUGAAAGUGGGAGUUGGACAGUUAGAAUUUUUUUUCCUAGCCACACUGGGUCUUUAUUGCUAUGUGGACUUUAUCUAGUUUCAGUGAAUGGGAGCUACUCUUCCUUGUGGUGUGAGGGCUUCUCAUUGUGAUGAUUUCUCUUGUUGCAGAGCACAGGUUCUAGACCUUGAGCUCAAGGGUCAUGGUGCAUGGGCUUUUGACCAUGGUGAGUGGGAUCUUCCCAGACCGGGGAUUAAACCUGUGUCCCCUGCAUUAGCAGGUGGAUUCUUAACCACUGGAUCACCAGGGAAGUCCAGAAAGUUAGGAUUUAUUGAUGUUUCUCAGGGGUGUAUGUAUUGAAUGCAUUCUAUAUUGUAGGGACUGUUUUAAAUAAUUUAAUGUUUCACCAAUCAGCAUCUUCCCUCUCUUUUUCUGGGACCUGUGUUAGCUUUCACCAGGUUAUUGCGUUUCCCAGGUGGCUCAGUGGUAAAGAAUCUGCCUGCCAAUCUUGGAGAUGCAAGAGACUCAGGUUCAGUUCCUCAGUAGAGAAGAUCCCCCAGAGGAGGGCAUGGCACUCCACUCCAGUAUUCUUGCCUGGAGAGUUCCAUGGACAGAGGAGCCUGGCGGGCUACAGUCCAUGGGGUUUCAAAAGACUUGGACACAAGUUAGUGACUAAACGACAACAACAAUACAAUUUACCACACUUUUCUUCUAUUGUCCUGCUUCCCUGGUAGCUCAGCUGGUAAAGAAUCCACCUGCAAUGUGGGAGAUCUGGGUUUGAGCCCUGGGUUGGGAAGAUCCCCUGGAGAAGGGAAAGGGAAUCUUUCCAGUAUUGUGGCCUGGAGAAUUCAUGUCGCAAUGAGUUGGACACAACUGAGCGACUUUCACUUUAUUCUAUUGUCUUAAGCCCUGUAGAUCCUGUGGGAAAAUUGCAUGUUUUUUCAAGUUCCCAAUCCUUUGGCCACAAUUGAUUUCUUCAGGCUUGAGGGUAUAACCCAAAUAUUUUCUAAUAGGAAGUAAGAAUGAAAGGGGGAAAAAGUAGACUCUCCAAUAGCCAACUUCUAAAAUGUAAAACCUGGGAGUUUUCAGUGACCAUGUUCCUCAUCAUGUGGAGGAAACUAGCCUACAGUUGCAGGGGAGAGAGCUAACAGAGUAAAGCUGAACAGGGACAAAGAGGAAAGUAUUAUGGGUUGGUUGUUCAGUCACUCCUUGGAUUCUGUGAAUCAUGAAGUUUUCCUCUGUGUCUAAGCUAAAGCUGAAUUUGUUUCUGUUAUUUGUAAUGAAAUGAUGAUUCAUG